ACGGGAGGCAGCAGUGGGGAAUAUUGGACAAUGGGGGAAACCCUGAUCCAGCGACGCCGCGUGAGUGAAGAAGUAUUUCGGUAUGUAAAGCUCUAUCAGCAGGGAAGAUAAUGACGGUACCUGACUAAGAAGCCCCGGCUAACUACGUGCCAGCAGCCGCGGUAAUACAUAGGGGGCAAGCGUUAUCCGGAUUUAUUGGGUGUAAAGGGUGCGUAGACGGAGAUACAAGUUGGUUGUGAAAUCCCUCGGCUCAACUGAGGAACUGCAACCAAAACUAUAUCCCUUGAGUGUCGGAGGGGAAAGUGGAAUUCCUAGUGUAGCGGUGAAAUGCGUAGAUAUUAGGAGGAACACCGGUGGCGAAGGCGACUUUCUGGACGAUAACUGACGUUGAGGCACGAAAGUGUGGGGAGCAAACAGGAUUAGAUACCCUGGUA
rnacentral:rRNA from 1 species